GUGCUCACUUAGGCAGCACAUGUACUGAAACUGGAAUGGCAGAGAGAUGUGCAUGGUCCCCGUGCAAGGAUGACACACAAAUUCAUGAAUUGCUCCAUAUUGUU